GACCUGUAGUAAACACAUCACCUAGGAACAGAUUCUUGCUGGCGACUAUAACAAGACGUUUUAGCUGGAUUCUCUAGCGGAAUUCGAGAACGGAAUGGACCGGGGAAGGGAAAGGGACAGAACGUCAACGUUUGAUCGACUGUUUAAUGCAGCUUCUCGUGCAAGACAGGAUCUUGCAUCCCCAAGUCGAAGUCCGCAGGAUUUACUUUCUACCACAAGGCGACUCUUCCGACGUAGUCCAGUGACACGAAGUAAGUUUUCAUGGUUGCUUUAGCAUGUUAGCACUAGGGACUGUGUGUAUGUACCUUUGUUAUUUACAGUGGCGGACCGUCAGGGCCUGGUAAGCCUUCUCUGAUCGGCCUAACAACUUUCAAAAUUAGGAAAUAAUAAUGUAUUCAUAAAUAAUUUUAGUUUACAGUUAAUCUAUCGAAAAUCCACACAUUCAAGUCCCAAAUCAGGUAACUCAGGAAAUUCACUCAGUUCCACUUUAAAUUAAUUCAUGACUCCUAAUAGGGAUAUUCCUGUCUUGCAGGUUUAGGGAGGGCUUGAAGACUCUUGGAUUACUUGAACACCUCCAGAUAUACCCUGCCCUCUUCCAUGAGCUGUUUGUAUGUGAAGAAAGACCACUUUAGGCCAGGGACCUGAUCAGUCUUUUCACAGUGGACUUCUCCAUGCAGGGCAGCAAUAGAAGAUCUCGAGAAGACCAGACAAUAUGCUUCUGGAGAGACUGGUUGAUUGACAUUGAGGAAGAGGAAGCCGGCCCUAUCACUCUUGAGACUGUCUUGGAGUUUGCCUCUGGAGCCUCAGCAGUGCUUCCACUUGGAUUUCCCCACCAGCCACAAAUCCUGUUUCUCCACGAGGGCAGAAAAAUCUUCCCAGAAGCAAAUACUUGUCUUCUUUUACUCCACCUGCCGAUGCACUCUUGCAAUGAAGCCUUCAAAAAAUACAUGACAGAGGGAAUUUUGCAAGCUCCAACCUUUGGAAUUGCAUAAUGUGUCAUGAAUGUCACUGUAAGGAAAUAAAUUAACAUUUUUGCAUACGUUGA